UAUUUGAGUAUCUCGGCUUGUUUUGCAGCCGAGUUAUUGUUUGCAUGUAUUCAAUGGGCACAACUCCCAGGUGACAUCUCUUGAUUUUCAUCCAAAGAAGACAGAUCUCCUCUGCUCUUGUGAUGGCAAUGGUGAAAUUCGGUUAUGGAGUGUCAGCCAGUUUUCAUGCUCACGUGUUUCUAAGGGUGGUACAGUGCAAGUUAGGUUUCAGCCUUACAUUGGACAGUAUUUAGCAGCAGCAGCG